rnacentral:rRNA from 1 species
GACGAACGCUGGCGGCGUGCUUAACACAUGCAAGUCGAACGGAAAGGCCCUGCUUUUGUGGGGUGCUCGAGUGGCGAACGGGUGAGUAACACGGGAGUAACCUGCCCUUGACUUUGGGAUAACUUCAGGAAACUGGGGCUAAUACCGGAUAGGAGCUCCUGCUGCAUGGUGGGGGUUGGAAAGUUUCGGCGGUUGGGGAUGGACUCGCGGCUUAUCAGCUUGUUGGUGGGGUAGUGGCUUACCAAGGCUUUGACGGGUAGCCGGCCUGAGAGGGUGACCGGCCACAUUGGGACUGAGAUACGGCCCAGACUCCUACGGGAGGCAGCAGUGGGGAAUAUUGCACAAUGGGCGGAAGCCUGAUGCAGCAACGCCGCGUGCGGGAUGACGGCCUUCGGGUUGUAAACCGCUUUCGCCUGUAACGAAGCGUGAGUGACGGUAAUGGGUAAAGAAGCACCGGCUAACUACGUG